UGCCAUAUCAAUAAGCGGAGGAAAAGAAACCAACAGGGAUUGCCUCAGUAGCGGCGAGUGAAGCGGCAAAAGCUCAAAUUUGAAAUCUGGCGUCUUUGGCGUCCGAGUUGUAAUUUGAAGAAGGUAUCUUUGGGCCCGGCUCUUGUCUAUGUUCCUUGGAACAGGACGUCACAGAGGGUGAGAAUCCCGUGCGAUGAGAUGACCCGGGUCUGUGUAAAGUUCCUUCGACGAGUCGAGUUGUUUGGGAAU
rnacentral:rRNA from 1 species